UUAGCCACGGAGGAGGGAGGAGACUGACAUGAGGAAAACAUAUUCUGGAUCGAUUUGGUUCUCAUGCACCGUCCUGUUGAGCCAUGAGAUCUGAACCAAGGAAUCCAGAUAACAUCGACUAUGUUUAUAGAUCACUACAUGUUCCGUUGGAACAUUGUGAGGUCCUUUUUCCAGUUUGCUACUAAAUUCUCAAAAAAGAAACGUUCUUAUGCAUCACCAUCAUGUGGAACCACGAUACCUGAACCAAUGAACUCAAUGAACAUUUAUUAUAUUUAUUAUGGAUCAUUACAUGUUCUGCUGGAACAAGUUGUUGCAGCGGCACAAACUCGGUUGCGUCCGCUAUGACCCCAAUCUUCGGAUUAUUAUAAGUAGAGGUUGAUCGUGUAGGAGGUGAAGAUGCUCACGCCUAAAGCCAAACUUGACGCCGUCGACGCCACCAUCCGGGAGCUCAUUUAUAUUGGCUUCGAAUGGCUACCGUUGUAUUUUCUGUACUUUUGGUUGUGGUCGUAAUUGUUACCCUAUGCCUUUGCAAGAAUAACUGAAAAUGGUGAUUUCUAUUGACUGGAAACCGAGUACUUGUCUAAUUAUUGUUCAAGAAAAUAUAGUGAGUCGUGUUCUUGGUUGCUAAUAGUAUAGUACACCUAUGCGGAUCCUUCUGUCGGACCGUUGAAUGGAAAUAACUCAAAAGAAGAUAAUAGAGAUGUUGUCUCUAUGCAAUCGGUAAC